CGACACUCGGGCCGUUUAUCAAUGCCCAAGUACGCGAGUACUUACUCGCGUGCUCGGUGAGUACGUACCCGCCGAGAACGCACGGGAGUACGUACCCGCCGAGAACGCGAGCACGGACUCGUGAUUUGUACAGUCGGAACACCAGCGUACGUGAUGAUGUCACAGGUCCGGAGUUUUUACUGCCGUCCCCUCUUAAUGUAACUGUGAGUAACAUGUUAUGAAGCUUAACUUUAAUCACAGCCAAACCGGUUUACUCAGGAACAAAUAAAACACUGAAAUAAACCAAACAUUAACAUUUAGAAGUGAUCUACGUGACUUAUAUAUCAUUUUUAACCUCAGUAGUGAAACCUCUAUUAAUAAAAAUAGUGUACAUGUACAUACGUGUACAUACCUUAAUAAAAACAAGCAGGUGAGAUGUUAGAACGCUUUUAUUUCUAUUCUAGUGGACACUCAAUACUAUAGACAGCUGCUGGGGUUUCUUUAACCUGAGUAGUGAGAAGACCGCGAGCGGGGGGGGGGCGGCGAUGUGCCGGGAGUCCGCUGUUGAGUUUUGGACGAAAUGCAUUCUGGGAUAUAUAGCUGUCCCAAGUCUACACCGAUGCAUGCUCGAUAAAAUGGGCGGAUCGAGAACACAUCCGGGACUUUUUCGCGUUCUCGGCGUGAUGCGUACUUCGAAUUGGAAAAGUACUUGGUCUCCGACUGAUGACGUAUCACGAGUACACGAGAACGCAAGUACGCACAAGUACGCAUAUUGAUAAACGCCCUCGGUCCAGUUUAAGUUCUACUGCUCUCCUAGCUGAUUCUUCUUCUCUUCUACAUUCUUCUUCCUCGCUUAUCAACGAAAAUCACGACGCAUUAGCGCCACCUAUCAGCCAGGAGUGCCAAAUAGUAAACCUCCUUCGCACCUCCACGAGUGCCUGCAAUUGGAUCCUCCUUUAUUUUUCUCCACACGGCGCUUCCCACUCACCGUGACAAGUCCUGUUGCUGAGGUUGGGUUCAUCCUGUAAUCUGUCAUGAACUACUUCCACUGUUUCAAUGGCUGGAGCACAAGUGAAGAGAGAUGUAAGAUCAUAUGAGAAGAAACAUUGCUCCCACUGAAAAUGUUACCGUCAGAUGAACAGAAUCAUCCUUUUGGGAUUUCCAGCAUGUUGUUG
ensembl:lncRNA